GGGGCGGCUACACAUGCAAGUCGAGCGGAUGAGAGGAGCUUGCUCCUCGAUUCAGCGGCGGACGGGUGAGUAAUGCCUAGGAAUCUGCCUAGUAGUGGGGGACAACGUUUCGAAAGGAACGCUAAUACCGCAUACGUCCUACGGGAGAAAGUGGGGGAUCUUCGGACCUCACGCUAUUAGAUGAGCCUAGGUCGGAUUAGCUAGUUGGUAGGGUAAAGGCCUACCAAGGCGACGAUCCGUAACUGGUCUGAGAGGAUGAUCAG
rnacentral:rRNA from 1 species